GUGAUACAGUUGAUAACAUCCAGAGUUGCCAUAAAUUACAUAACGAAACAGUCCCUGGACUGAUGGCCUAGAGAAUAAUAGAAUAAAAUGAAAAUAAAGCUUGACACAUUUCAAGACCAUCGAAAUUAGUGAGAUAUCCUAAAUUAUCUAAAACUGAAGAAUUCGACCAAAUAAAAGUCGCACUUGAUAUAUAGUUAUUUAACAAAAAGCAGAGUUUAGUCAAACCAAUAUAAAAUUUGAAUAUGAAAGUAUCAAAUAUGUAUUGAUUGAAUAAACUUGAGUUGUAAUAAAGUAAAAUGGAAAAGUAUAUAGAAAUGGUUAUUUGUUUAGAUAAUAAUACAAAUGUUUCACAUUUUUAUAGUAUAUUAAAUAUGUUAUAUUUUUGAUUCUGAUGUAAUUACAUAAAAUUUUACAAAAACUUAUAAUGUAAAUUUUAUUUUACAUUUACAAAACUAUUUUUUUAAUGACAAAAUUGUAUUCACAAAAUUUACAUACAUACAUAAAUUGUUCUAUGAUUAAUAUUCACAAAAACUGUUGAAACUAUGUUGUAAUUUCCAGUACCUACAAAAUGUAAGUUUAUAAGAAUGAUUUAAUAUAUUCUCAUGUUACAUUAAAUUUGUAACAAACACCUUAUUCCACAAAACUGGCCAUCUAUGAGGAAGUUUGUACUUAUGUCGUGCACUUGUGCAUACUUAUAACUUUGGACAAUAACUGAAUGUAAUAUUUCACGAAUUAUAUAAUUAUGUACAUCUAAAUGAUUUAUUAAUUAAAUUAUAUUGUACUUAGCA